AUUAAUGCUGUUGCGGUUAAAAAGCUCGUAGUUGGAUUUUGGGGCUCUCCCUUUUCGGGAAUUCAUUUGGAGGCUGGUCCGGUGUAAACCGCGUACCGGCCGCCGGGCCCUUUCGUCUGGAGGCCGGGCGCAACGACUUUAUUGUCGAACGAUUCCCCCGGUGUCUAGGACGAUUACUUUGAACAAAUUAGAGUGUUUAAAGCAGGCAUACUCGCCUUGAAUACAUUAGCAUGGAAUAACCACUUAGGACUUUGGUUCUAUUUUGUUGGUUUUAAGGACUAAAGUAAUGAUUAACAGGAACCGUUGGGGCCAUUAGUAUUUAGUUGCCAGAGGUGAAAUUCUUAGACUUACGAAAGACUAACUUCUGCGAAAGCACUUGGCAAGGAGGUUUUCAGUAAUCAAGAACGAAAGUUAGGGGAUCGAAGACGAUCAGAUACCGUCGUAGUCUUAACCAUAAACUAUGCCGACUAGGGAUUGGAAGAUGUUAUUUUCAUGACUCUCUCAGCACCUUAUGAGAAAUCAAAGUCUUUGGGUUCCGGGGGGAGUAUGGUCGCAAGACUGAAACUUAAAGGAAUUGACGGAAGGGCACCACCAGGAGUGGAGCCUGCGGCUUAAUUUGACACAACACGGGAAAACUCACCAGGUCCAGACGUAAUAAGGAUUGACAGAUUGAGAGCUCUUUCUUGAUUCUACGGGUGGUGGUGCAUGGCCGUUCUUAGUUGGUGGAGUGAUUUGUCUGCUUAAUUGCGAUAACGAACGAGACCUUAACCUACUAAAUAGUUACGCGAUCAAUCCUGAUCGUGGCGAACUUCUUAGAGGGACUUUUGCGUGUUAAACCAAAGGAAGUUUGAGGCAAUAACAGGUCUGUGAUGCCCUUCGAUGUCCUGGGCCGCACGCGCGCUACACUGAUGAAUGCAACGAGUUUUGACCCUAGACCGUUAGGUCCGGGUAAUCUUUGAAAGUUUAUCGUGAUGGGGAUCGUUGAUUGUAAUUUUUCAACGUAAACGAGGAAUUCCUAGUAAGUGCGAGUCAUCAACUCGCGCUGAUUUCGUCCCUGCCCUUUGUACACACCGCCCGUCGCUCCUACCGAUUGAAUGGUCCGGUGAGGUUCCAGGACUGGCCUUUGUUGAUUGGUAACAAUCUCUUAGGCCGGAAAUGCGCCCGAAUCUUAUCAU
rnacentral:rRNA from 1 species